rnacentral:rRNA from 1 species
GACGAACCGUGCGAACGUUAUUCGGAAUCACUGGGCUUAAAGCGCGUGUAGGCGGGGCGGCACGUCGGUCGCUGAAAUCCCCCGGCUUAACCGGGGAACGGGCGCCGAUACGACCGUCCUGGAGGAACGUAGGGGGAGCUGGAACUUCCGGUGGAGCGGUGAAAUGCGUUGAGAUCGGAAGGAACGCCCGUGGCGAAAGCGAGGUCCUGGACGUCUGCUGACGCUGAGACGCGAAAGCCAGGGGA